UUUAAGGCUGAGACACGACGUCGAGCACCUACGGGUGUGAAGUCAUUGAUGCCAUGCUUCCAGGAAAAGCCUCUAAGCUUCAGAUUGUAAGGAAUCGUACCCCAAACCGACACAGGUGGUCGGGUAGAGAAUACCAAGGCGCUUGAGAGAACUCGGGUGAAGGAACUAGGCAAAAUGGUACCGUAACUUCGGGAGAAGGUACGCUCUUGAUGGUGAAGUCCCUUGCGGAUGGAGCUGACGAGAGUCGCAGAUACCAGGUGGCUGCAACUGUUUAUUAAAAACACAGCACUGUGCAAAAUCGUAAGAUGACGUAUACGGUGUGACGCCUGCCCGGUGCCGGAAGGUUAAUUGAUGGGGUUAGACUUCGGUCGAAGCUCUUGAUCGAAGCCCCGGUAAACGGCGGCCGUAACUAUAACGGUCCUAAGGUAGCGAAAUUCCUUGUCGGGUAAGUUCCGACCUGCACGAAUGGCGUAAUGAUGGCCACGCUGUCUCCACCCGAGACUCAGUGAAAUUGAAAUCGCUGUGAAGAUGCAGUGUACCCGCGGCUAGACGGAAAGACCCCGUGAACCUUUACUACAGCUUGGCACUGAACAUUGACCCUACAUGUGUAGGAUAGGUGGGAGGCUUUGAAGCACGUACGCCAGUAUGUGUGGAGCCGUCCUUGAAAUACCACCCUUGUAGUGUUGAUGUUCUAACGUCGACCCCUGAUCGGGGUUGCGGACAGUGCCUGGUGGGUAGUUUGACUGGGGCGGUCUCCUCCCAAAGAGUAACGGAGGAGCACGAAGGUGGGCUAAUCACGGUUGGACAUCGUGAGGUUAGUGCAAUGGCAUAAGCCCGCUUGACUGCGAGAAUGACAAUUCGAGCAGGUGCGAAAGCAGGUCAUAGUGAUCCGGUGGUUCUGAAUGGAAGGGCCAUCGCUCAACGGAUAAAAGGUACUCCGGGGAUAACAGGCUGAUACCGCCCAAGAGUUCAUAUCGACGGCGGUGUUUGGCACCUCGAUGUCGGCUCAUCACAUCCUGGGGCUGAAGUCGGUCCCAAGGGUAUGGCUGUUCGCCAUUUAAAGUGGUACGCGAGCUGGGUUUAGAACGUCGUGAGACAGUUCGGUCCCUAUCUGCCGUGGGCGUUGGAAGAUUGAAGGGGGCUGCUCCUAGUACGAGAGGACCGGAGUGGACGAACCUCUGGUGUUCGGGUUGUGUCGCCAGACGCAUUGCCCGGUAGCUAAGUUCGGAAUCGAUAACCGCUGAAAGCAUCUAAGCGGGAAGCGAGCCCUGAGAUGAGUCUUCCCUGAUACUUUAAGUAUCCUAAAGGGUUGUCGGAGACUACGACGUUGAUAGGUCAGGUGUGUAAGUGCUGUGAGGCAUUGAGCUAACUGAUACUAAUUGCCCGUGAGGCUUAACCAUACAACACCCAAGGGGUUU
rnacentral:rRNA from 1 species